rnacentral:rRNA from 1 species
GACGAACCGUGCGAACGUUGUUCGGAUUCACUGGGGUUAAAGGGCGCGUAGGCGGGCUGUCAAGUCAGGGGUGAAAGCUUUCGGCUCAACCGGAAAAGUGCCCCUGAUACUGAUGGUCUAGAGUGAGGUAGGGGCAUGUGGAACUUCCGGUGGAGCGGUGAAAUGCGUAGAUAUCGGAAGGAACGCCGGUGGCGAAAGCGACGUGCUGGACCUCGACUGACGCUGAGGCGCGAAAGCUAGGGGAGCAAACGGG